UACGGAGGGUGCGAGCGUUAAUCGGAAUUACUGGGCGUAAAGCGCGCGUAGGCGGCUAUGUAAGUCGGAUGUGAAAGCCCCGGGCUCAACCUGGGAAUUGCGUUCGAUACUGCAUGACUAGAGUAUGGGAGAGGGAAGUGGAAUUUCCGGUGUAGCGGUGAAAUGCGUAGAUAUCGGAAGGAACACCAGUGGCGAAGGCGACUUCCUGGCCCAAUACUGACGCUGAGGUGCGAAAGCGUGGGGAGCAAACAGGAUUAGAUACCCCAGUA
rnacentral:rRNA from 1 species